UACGUAGGGGGCUAGCGUUGUCCGGAAUCAUUGGGCGUAAAGAGCGUGUAGGCGGUUUGGUAAGUCCGCUGUGAAAGUCCAGGGCUCAACCCUGGAAUGCCAGUGGAAACUGUCAAGCUAGAGUCCGGAAGAGGCGAGUGGAAUUCCUGGUGUAGCGGUGAAAUGCGCAGAUAUCAGGAGGAACACCAAUGGCGAAGGCAGCUCGCUGGGACGGUACUGACGCUGAGACGCGAAAGCGUGGGGAGCAAACAGG
rnacentral:rRNA from 1 species